rnacentral:rRNA from 1 species
GACGAACGCUGGCGGCGUGCCUAAUACAUGCAAGUAGAACGCUGAAGGAGGAGCUUGCUUCUCCGGAUGAGUUGCGAACGGGUGAGUAACGCGUAGGUAACCUGCCUGGUAGCGGGGGAUAACUAUUGGAAACGAUAGCUAAUACCGCAUAACAGUAGAUAUUGCAUGAUAUCUGCUUGAAAGGUGCAAUUGCAUCACUACCAGAUGGACCUGCGUUGUAUUAGCUAGUUGGUGAGGUAACGGCUCACCAAGGCGACGAUACAUAGCCGACCUGAGAGGGUGAUCGGCCAAACUGGGACUGAGACAAGGCCCAGAAUCCUAAGGGAGGCAGCAGUAGGGAAUCUUCGGCAAUGGACGGAAGUCUGACCGAGCAACGCCGCGUGAGUGAAGAAGGUUUUCGGAUCGUAAAGCUCGGUUGUAAGAGAAGAACGAGUGUGAGAGUGGAAAGUUCACACUGUGACGGUAUCUUACCAGAAAGGGACGGCUAACUACGUG